UUAAGUAAGGAAGGGCGUACGGCGAAUGCCUUGCCACUCGAAACUGAAGAAGGACGCGCCAAACUGCGAAAAGCUCCGUGAAGCUGUAAGGAAGCGAAGAAGCGGAGGUGUCCGAAUGGGGGAACCCGGCAGCAGACAUGAGCUGUCAUCUGCAGGUGAAUACAUGGCCUGCAAGAGAGGUACCCGGCGAACUGAAACAUCUAAGUAGCCGGAGGAAAAGAAAACAACAGUGAUUCCCUGAGUAGCGGCGAGCGAAAGGGGAGAAGCCCAAACCGGUUGAAGGACCGGGGUUGAAGGACCAUGACAUGGCAAGAACGAGGAUAGGAGAACGGGAUCGAAAGCCCGGCCGAAGAAGGUGAAAGCCCUGUAACCGAAAUCCGAGUAAAGCCUAAUGGGAUCCUGAGUACGGCGAGACACGAGAAAUCUUGUCGGAAGCAGGCGGGACCAUCCGCCAAGGCUAAAUAUAAACGAGUGAGCGAUAGUGAACCAGUACCGUGAGGGAAAGGUGAAAAGAACCGCGGGAGCGGAGUGAAAGAGAACCUGAAACCGUAUGCCUACAAGAAGUCAGAGCCCGUUAAGGGGUGAUGGCGUGCCUUUUGUAGAAUGAACCGGCGAGUUGCGACAGACUGCGAGGUUAAGGAGGAAAGACCGGAGCCGAAGCGAAAGCGAGUCUUAAGAGGGCGAAAGUAGGAUGUUGCAGACCCGAAACCGGGUGAUCUAGCCAUGAGCAGGUUGAAGUUGAGGUGAAACUCAAUGGAGGACCGAACCGACUACCGUUGAAAAGUUAGCGGAUGACUUGUGGCUAGGGGAGAAAUUCCAAUCGAACCCGGAGAUAGCUGGUUCUCCCCGAAAUAGCUUUAGGGCUAGCGUCGGAAAGAACCUUAGUGAAGGUAGAGCACUGAAUGUGUGAUGGCCCCAUCCCGGGGUACUGAAUACAAUCAAACUGCGAAUGUCAUUAAGGAUGUCCGGCAGUCAGACUGUGAGUGAUAAGGUCCAUGGUCAAGAGGGAAACAGCCCAGACCGCCAGUUAAGGUCCCAAAAUACAGGCUAAGUGGAAAAGGAUGUGGGGAUGCCCAGACAACUAGGAGGUUGGCUCAGAAGCAGCCAUCCUUUAAAGAGUGCGUAACAGCUCACUAGUCGAGUGACCCUGCGCCGAAAAUGUACCGGGGCUAAGCCUGAUACCGAAACUGCGGAUUGUAGGAAACUAUAGUGGUAGGGGAGCGUUGUAUACGAGCAGAAGCCGUACCGUGAGGAGCGGUGGAUUGUAUAGAAGUGAGAAUGCCGGUGUGAGUAGCGAGAUGUAGGUGAGAAUCCUACACACCGAAAGCCCAAGGAUUCCAGGGGAAGGUUCGUCCGCCCUGGGUAAGUCGGGACCUAACGCGAGGCCGAAAGGCGUAGUGGAUGGAAAGCAGGCGAAAGAUUCCUGCACCCGUAUAUGGAGCGAAGGAGUGACGGAGACGGAUAGUGUGACCCUCUUAAUGGAUUGAGGGCGAAGCGAAGCGGCUGGUUACCAGGCAAAUCCGGUAGCCAAAAGGCUAGAGCGUGACAGGUAAGCGAAAUCUUCGGAAAGUAGCGAAGCACAUGAUGACGGCUUCCAGGAAAAGCUUCUGGCAAUGCAUAUGCGGCCCGUACCAAAACCGACACAGGUGGGCAGGGAGAGAAUCCCGAGGUGAGCGAGAGAACUGUUGCCAAGGAACUCGGCAAAAUGACUCCGUAAGUUAGCGAGAAGGAGUGCUUAAGCAAUUAAGCCGCAGUGAAGAGGCCCAAGCGACUGUUUAACUAAAACACAGCUCUCUGCGAAGUCGCAAGACGAAGUAUAGGGGGUGACACCUGCCCGGUGCUGGAAGGUUAAGAGGAUCUGUUAAGAGCGAUCUGAAGCAGUGAUCCGAAGCCCCAGUGAACGGCGGCCGUAACUAUAACGGUCCUAAGGUAGCGAAAUUCCUUGUCAGGUAAGUUCUGACCCGCACGAAAGGUGUAACGAUUUGGGCGCUGUCUCGGCAGCAGACUCGGUGAAAUCUUAGUACCUGUGAAAAUGCAGGUUACCCGCAACUAGACGGAAAGACCCCAUGGAGCUUUACUGCAGCCUGAUAUUGAAUUCUGGUCAUACAUGUACAGGAUAGGUGGGAGACAAAGAGACGUGCACGCCAGUGUACGAGGAGUCGACGUUGGGAUACCACUCUUGUGUGACCGGGGUUCUAACCUGGUAUCGAGAACAGGUACGGGGAGAGUGUCAGGUGGGCAGUUUGACUGGGGCGGUCGCCUCCCAAAGAGUAACGGAGGCGCCCAAAGGUACGCUCAGAUUGGAUGGAAACCAAUCGUCGAGUGCAAUUGCAGAAGCGU
rnacentral:rRNA from 1 species